rnacentral:rRNA from 1 species
AUUGAACGCUGGCGGCAGGCUUAACACAUGCAAGUCGAGCGAGCGGCGGACGGGUGAGUAAUGUCUGGGAAACUGCCUGAUGGAGGGGUAUAACUACUGGAAACGGUAGCUAAUACCGCAUACCAUCAGAUGUGCCCAGAUGGGUUUAGCUAGUAGGUGGGGUAAUGGCUCACCUAGGCGACGAUCCCUAGCUGGUCUGAGAGGAUGACGAGCCACACGGGAACUGGAACACGGUCCAGACUCCUAGGGGGGGCGGCAGUGGGGAAUAUUGCACAAUGGGGGAAAGCCUGAUGCAGCAAUGCGGGGUGUGUAAAGAGGGCGUUGGGGUUGAAAAGCACUUUCAGCGAGGAGGCGUUACUAGCAGAAGAAGCACCGGCUAACUCCGUGCCAGCGGCCGCGGUAAUA